GAGUUUGAUCGUGGCUCAGGACGAACGCUGGCGGCGUGCCUAAUACAUGCAAGUCGAACGCUUUUUCCAAUCAUCGUAGCUUGCUACACCGAUUGGAAAUUGAGUGGCGAACGGGUGAGUAACACGUGGGUAACCUGCCCAAAAGAGGGGGAUAACACUUGGAAACAGGUGCUAAUACCGCAUAACCAUGAUGACCGCAUGGUCAUUAUGUAAAAGAUGGUUUCGGCUAUCACUUUUGGAUGGACCCGCGGCGUAUUAACUUGUUGGUGGGUAACGGCCUACCAAGGUGAUGAUACGUAGCCGAACUGAGAGGUUGAUCGGCCACAUUGGGACUGAGACACGGCCCAAACUCCUACGGGAGCAGCAGUAGGGAAUCUUCCACAAUGGGCGCAAGCCUGAUGGAGCAACGCCGCGUGAGUGAAGAAGGGUUUCGCUCGUAAAGCUCUGUUGUGGAGAGAACGUGCGUGAGAGUAACUGUUCACG
rnacentral:rRNA from 1 species